rnacentral:rRNA from 1 species
GACGAACGCUGGCGGCGUGCUUAACACAUGCAAGUCGAGCGGAGCGGCGAACGGGUGAGUAACGCGUGAGUAACUGCCCCCCUCCCUGGGGUAAAAGAUGGAAACGGCUGCUAAUACCGGAUAGUGGGGGAUGACUCGCGUCCUAUCAGCUUGUUGGUUGGGUAGUGGCAUACCAAGGCGACGACGGGUAGCCGGCCUGAGCAGGCGACCGGCCACAUUGGGCGGAGAUACGUCCCAAACUCCUACGGGGGGCAGCAGUGGGGAAUAUUGCGCAAUGGGGGAAACCGUGAGGCAGCAACGCGCGUGCGUGAUGACGGUCUUCGGGUUGUAAACCGCUUUCAGCCAUGACGCGGUAGUGGCAGAAGAAGCACCGGCUAACUACGUGCCAGCCGCCGCGGUAAUUC